rnacentral:rRNA from 1 species
CCUACGGGGGGCAGCAGUGAGGAAUAUUGGUCAAUGGGCGCUAGCCUGAACCAGCCAAGUAGCGUGAAGGAUGACUGCGCUAUGGGUUGUAAACUUCUUUUAUAUGGGAAUAAAGUGCAGUAUGUAUACUGCUUUGCAUGUACCUUAUGAAUAAGGAUCGGCUAACUCCGUGCCAGCAGCCGCGGUAAUACGGAGGAUCCGAGCGUUAUCCGGAUUUAUUGGGUUUAAAGGGAGCGUAGGCGGGUUGUUAAGUCAGUUGGGAAAGUUUGCGGCUCAACCGUAACAUUGCAGUUGAUACUGGCAUCCUUGAGUAGAGGAGAGGUAGGCGGAAUGCGUGGUGUAGCGGUGAAAUGCUUAGAUAUCACGAAGAACUCCGAUUGCGAAGGCAGCAUGCUGGACUGUAACUGACGCUGAUGCUCGAAAGUGUGGGUAUCAAACAGGAUUAGAUACCCGGGUAGUC